UGCAGUCGAGCGAAUGGAUUAAGAGCUUGCUCUUAUGAAGUUAGCGGCGGACGGGUGAGUAACACGUGGGUAACCUGCCCAUAAGACUGGGAUAACUCCGGGAAACCGGGGCUAAUACCGGAUAACAUUUUGAACCGCAUGGUUCGAAAUUGAAAGGCGGCUUCGGCUGUCACUUAUGGAUGGACCCGCGUCGCAUUAGCUAGUUGGUGAGGUAACGGCUCACCAAGGCAACGAUGCGUAGCCGACCUGAGAGGGUGAUCGGCCACACUGGGACUGAGACACGGCCCAGACUCCUACGGGAGGCAGCAGUAGGGAAUCUUCCGCAAUGGACGAAAGUCUGACGGAGCAACGCCGCGUGAGUGAUGAAGGCUUUCGGGUCGUAAAACUCUGUUGUUAGGGAAGAACAAGUGCUAGUUGAAUAAGCUGGCACCUUGACGGUACCUAACCAGAAAGCCACGGCUAACUACGUGCCAGCAGCCGCGGUAAUACGUAGGUGGCAAGCGUUAUCCGGAAUUAUUGGGCGUAAAGCGCGCGCAGGUGGUUUCUUAAGUCUGAUGUGAAAGCCCACGGCUCAACCGUGGAGGGUCAUUGGAAACUGGGAGACUUGAGUGCAGAAGAGGAAAGUGGAAUUCCAUGUGUAGCGGUGAAAUGCGUAGAGAUAUGGAGGAACACCAGUGGCGAAGGCGACUUUCUGGUCUGUAACUGACACUGAGGCGCGAA
rnacentral:rRNA from 2 species